ACUCCUACGGGAGGCAGCAGUGGGGAAUAUUGCACAAUGGGGAAACCCUGAUGCAGCCAUGCCGCGUGUGUGAAGAAGGCCUCGGUUGUAAAGCACUUUCAGUAGGGAGGAAGGUAGUGUAGUUAACACCUGCACUAUUUGACGUUACCUACAGAAGAAGCACCGGCUAACUCCGUGCCAGCAGCCGCGGUAAUACGGAGGGGUGCGAGCGUUAAUCGGAAUUACUGGGCGUAAAGCGCAUGCAGGCGGCCUGUUAAGUCAGAUGUGAAAGCCCGGGGGCUUAACCUCGGAAUUGCAUUUGAAACUGGCAGGCUAGAGUCUUGUAGAGGGGGUAGAAUUUCAGGUGUAGCGGUGAAAUGCGUAGAGAUCUGAAGGAAUACCAGUGGCGAAGGCGGCCCCCUGGACAAAGACUGACGCUCAGAUGCGAAAGCGUGGGGAGCAAACAGGAUUAGAUACCCUGGUAGCACAGAG
rnacentral:rRNA from 1 species